GUGAACGCUGGCGGUGCGCCUAACACAUGCAAGUCGAGUGGGUUCAGACCCACGGCGAACGGCUGCGCAACGCGUUGGCAUGUACCCCGAACUCAGGGAUAUCCCUCCGAAAGGAGGAGUAAUACCGGAUGCCCCAGCAAUGGGAAAGAUUUAUCGGUUCGGGAACAGCCUGCGUCCUAUCAGGUAGUUGGUAAGGUAACGGCUUACCAAGCCUAUGACGGGUAGCUGGUUUGAGAGAACGACCAGCCAGAAUGGAACUGAGACACGGUCCAUACUCCUACGGGUGGCAGCAGUGAGGAAUCUUCCGCAAUGGACGAAAGUCUGACGGAGCGACACCGCGUGGAGGAUGAAGGGAUUUUUUCCUGUAAACUCCUGUUCUGAGGGACGAAAUUUUUGACGGUACCUCAGGAGAAAGCAUCGGCUAACCCUGUGCCAGCAGCCGCGGUAAGACAGGGGAUGCAAGCGUUACUCGGAAUUACUGGGCGUAAAGCGUCUGCAGGUGUCUUGCCACGUCUGGUGUCAAAUGGUGCGGCUCAACCGCAUCAACGUGCCGGAAACGAGCGAGAUCGAGUCAUUCAGAGGUACCUGGAAUGUCGUGUGUAGGGGUAAAAUCCGUAGAUCCACGAUGGAACGCCAAAAGCGAAGGCAGGGUACUGGGAAUGCACUGACACUCAGAGACGAAAGCGUGGGGAGCAAAGGGGAUUAGAUACCCCCGUAGUCCACGCCCUAAACGAUGCGGGCUCGAUGUAGGGAUUUUCAAUUGGUCCCUGUGUCCAAGCUAACGCGGUAAGCCCGCCGCCUGGGAAGUACGGCCGCAAGGCUAAAACCCAAAGGAAUAGACGGGGACCCACACAAGCGGUGGAACAUGGGGUUUAAUUCGAUGGUAAACGAAGAACCUCACCCAGGCUUGACAUGUCAGGAAUCCGGCAGAAACGUCGGAGUGCCGCAAGGAACCUGAACACAGGCGCUGCACGGUUGUCGUCAGCUCGUGCCUUGAGGUGUACUGUUAAGUCAGCGAACGAGCGCAACCCUCAUCCUAUGUUGUAUUUUCAUAGGAGACUGCCGCCUCCAAGGCGGAGGAAGGUGAGGAUGACGUCAAAUCAGCGUGGCCUUUAUGCCUGGGGCUGCACCCAUGUUACAAUGGACGAUACAAAGGGCAGCGAACCCGCAAGGGGGAGCCAAUCCCGCCAAAAUCGUUCUCAGUUCGGAUUGUCGGCUGCAACUCGCCGGCAUGAAGUUGGAAUCGCUAGUAACCGUAGGUCAGCGAUACUACGGUGAAUAUGUUCCUGGGUCUUGUACUCACCGCCCGUCAACUCAUGGGAGGCAGGGGCACCUGAAGCACCUUUAUCCGCAAGGAGGGGUACCACGGUGACACUGCUGACUGGGAGU
rnacentral:rRNA from 1 species